rnacentral:rRNA from 1 species
CGUACACUCCUACGGGAGGCAGCAGUGGGGAAUAUUGCACAAUGGGCGCAAGCCUGAUGCAGCCAUGCCGCGUGUAUGAAGAAGGCCUUCGGGUUGUAAAGUACUUUCAGCGGGGAGGAAGGCGAUAAGGUUAAUAACCUUGUCGAUUGACGUUACCCGCAGAAGAAGCACCGGCUAACUCCGUGCCAGCAGCCGCGGUAAUACGGAGGGUGCAAGCGUUAAUCGGAAUUACUGGGCGUAAAGCGCACGCAGGCGGUCUGUCAAGUCGGAUGUGAAAUCCCCGGGCUCAACCUGGGAACUGCAUUCGAAACUGGCAGGCUAGAGUCUUGUAGAGGGGGGUAGAAUUCCAGGUGUAGCGGUGAAAUGCGUAGAGAUCUGGAGGAAUACCGGUGGCGAAGGCGGCCCCCUGGACAAAGACUGACGCUCAGGUGCGAAAGCGUGGGGAGCAAACAGGAUUAGAAACCCUAGUAGUCCCAUGAU